CUCUGUAUGCAGAAUAUUGUGCAACAUGGUUAUGGGUACUACAGUGGAUGUGAGUGUGUAGACCUUGUACAAUAGAGCUUAUAGGCUAAUGAGAAGACAGGAAGAAACAACAGGAACACAUAUAGCUGGAAUGCAGAUGGGAUCUGUGCUACUUACGCUAGCCAUGGGAUGAUUAGAACAAGAUAAGAGACAUGAGGAAGACUUCUUCAAGGAGGUGCUCAAGCCAUGUUUUGGAAAAGAGAACUCAAGGUCUGGCAGGGAGAAAGGAGCAAGGUCCUCUUCUCCCUGAAGGCUGUCACAGUUCCUGUGCAGAGAGAGAGGGCACUGCAGCACCCAGGCGCUGACUGCCUUUUGUCAGUCUCAUUUGCAGGCCCCCAGCUGGAGAACCCAGGAGGAAGAGGAAAAAAGUUUUUUCCUCCUCUACACUCCCCAUGCAUGACUAAAGAGUAGGAGGAGUCAGCAAGACAUAUAUAGUACCCAGGAGGUGGACAAACAACUGCCUUGGUGGAAACUCUGUCCUUUCUGGACUUAUCCUGGUGCCACUGAGACUGUGCAGGUCCCACACUUACAGGGAAAGCAUCACCCGAAAGUGAGAAUGCCUAGAGGCAGGAAUCAUGGAGGCUUCCUUAACCGUCUGUCUGCAACAGCAGGUGCUAGAGAUGACACUGCAGAGUAGAGAACAAAGGAAUCUUAGUAAUUGUUCAAUCCAAUCUCCACACUUUAAAGAUGAAGAAACUGGUAUUGAGAAAAAUACACAGCUUAUCCAAGGUUGCACUGCUGGUUGGUAGCUGAGAUGAAUUUAGAACCCACAUCUGAUGACUACACCAUAUUGCUCCCAGUUUUCCUGUCUGUUCCACAUGUAAAAGUCUGACUCUUCACUUCUCCUUUGAGUAUAUAGACUUUUAACAUUUUUGUAUGUCAAGAUGGACUUUUCCUCAUACCCAGCCCCUGCCUUUUCUCCUCCCUUCAUACCUUGCAGGAUCUUUAACAGAAUUUAAAAGGAGUUUUUUGUUUUGUUUUGAUGUAUCUAAUAAAAGUCAAGGGAGGGAGAGGGCCAGUAUAAGCAAGAGUACAGUUUCCUAGUUUGUAGAUGCGGUAGUCUGAGGAAUCAGAAACACACAAAGGUUUGGAGAACUGGUACAUGCUCCCAGGUGGGAAGCCAGGACUCUUGGUAGGAUCUUGAGGACAAGGCAAAGGACAAUAAGAGAGCGAGGGGAUCCUAGAGGUGGAAUCAAGGAAGAGAAACUAGAGAGAGAAAAAGGAACUGGCUAUCCAUCCAUGAUGGAUCCUGUGUGGACUGAUGGGUGGCUUGGCAUCAUCCUUUAGUAGACUUCAUGUGGUUGAAUAAUUGGCCAAUGGAAGGAAUUUCUUUUUUGGUAACAGACUCUGUGUGUACAGUUAUGGGUCUUAAUUUAUAAUAAAAGGUUACAUUGAAAAUUGA
rnacentral:lncRNA from 1 species